UUACUUACCUGGUGAUCCUGCCAGUAGUCAUAUGCUUGUCUCAAAGAUUAAGCCAUGCAUGUCUAAGUACUUGCUAUACUAAAGUGAAACCGCGAAUGGCUCAUUAAAUCAGUUGUGUUCUGCUAGAUGUGGAACAGCUACACGGAUAACUGUGGUAAUUCUAGAGCUAAUACGUGCACCCUAACUUUCGACGGCGGCGGCUCUCGGGCUGCCAACGGAGAAAGGCAUUUAUUAGACCAAGACCAACGGGGCGGGCGUCUCACGACUCCGCUUCAACCCGUUGUGGUGACUCUGGAUAACUACUCAUGACGGCUGAUCGCAUGACCACCGUGUCGGCGACAGAUCUUUCGAGCGUCUGCCUUAUCAACUGUCGAUGGUAGGUUAAGUGCCUACCAUGGUUGUAACGGGUAACGGGGAAUCAGGGUUCGAUUCCGGAGAGGGAGCCUGAGAAACGGCUACCACAUCCAAGGAAGGCAGCAGGCACGCAAAUUACCCACUCCCAGUUCGGGGAGGUAGUGACGAAAAAUAACAAUGCAGCACUCUAUUGAGGCGCUGCAAUUGGAAUGAGAACAGUCUAAAUCCUUUAGCGAGGAUCAAUUGGAGGGCAAGUCUGGUGCCAGCAGCCGCGGUAAUUCCAGCUCCAAUAGCGUAUAUUAAAGUUGUUGCGGUUAAAAAGCACGUAGUUGGAUCUCGGUUCGAGCGUCGAUGCGGUCCGCUUGCCGGCGGUUACCGUUCGCGCUGAACGAACAGCGUGUUGGGUGAAGCAAUUGCUCGAUGGCUUUAAUCGGCCUGUCGAUGCGAUGUCACCCCGUUUACUUUGAACAAAUUAGAGUGCUCAAAGCAGACCCGUAGCGGUCCGAAUACAUUCAGCAUGGAAUAAUGGAAUAUGUAGGUGUGUGCACCGUUCUGUUGGUCGUCGACACACUACCUAAAUGAUUAUCGGGACAGACGGGGGCGUCCGUAUUGCUACGCUAGAGGUGAAAUUCUUGGACCGUAGCAAGACGAACUAAAGCGAAAGCAUUCGCCAAGAAUGUUUUCAUUAAUCAAGUACGAAAGUUAGAGGUUCGAAGGCGAUCAGAUACCGCCCUAGUUCUAACCAUAAACGAUGCCAACCAGCGAUUGGCCCGAGUUAACAUUCUCGAACGACUCGGCCAGCAGCUUCCGGGAAACCACAGUCUGUCGGUUCCGGGGGAAGUAUGGUUGCAAAACUGAAACUUAAAGGAAUUGACGGAAGGGCACCACCAGGAGUGGAGCCUGCGGCUUAAUUUGACUCAACACGGGAAAACUCACCCGGGCCGAACACUGACAGGAUUGACAGAUUGACAGCUCUUUCUUGAUUCAGUGGGUGGUGGUGCAUGGCCGUUCUUAGUUGGUGGAGCGAUUUGUCUGGUUAAUUCCGAUAACGAACGAGACUCUAGCCUACUAAAUAGCGUCGUGUCGGAUGCUUAUUCGGGGCGGUUCGCCGACCCGUUUGCCUCCGCGACACACAAUUAAGACUUCUUAGAGGGACAGGCGGCGGCCUAGCCGCACGAAACAGAGCAAUAACAGGUCUGUGAUGCCCUUAGAUGUUCGGGGCCGCACGCGCGCUACACUGAAGUGAGCAGCGUGUGUUGGCUAUUCGCCUGCCGCGAGAGCGGUGGGAAACCCGGUGAGCACACUUCGUGAUUGGGAUAGGAGAUUGCAAUUGUUCUCCUUGAACGAGGAAUUCCCAGUAAGCGCGAGUCAUCAGCUCGCGCUGAUUACGUCCCUGCCCUUUGUACACACCGCCCGUCGCUACUACCGAUUGAAUGAUUUAGUGAGGACGACGGAUUGGCCGGCAGUUGGCUCUCGAGAGGGGGCCGAUCGCCUGUGCUGAAAAGUCGCCCGAACUUGAUCAUUUAGAGGAAGUAAAAGUCGUAACAAGGUUUCCGUAGGUGAACCUGCGGAGGGAUCAUUAA
rnacentral:rRNA from 1 species